rnacentral:rRNA from 1 species
GAUGAACGCUGGCGGCGUGCUUAACACAUGCAAGUCGAACGGAAAGGCCCAAGCUUGCUUGGGUACUCGAGUGGCGAACGGGUGAGUAACACGUGGGUGAUCUGCCCUGCACUUCGGGAUAAGCCUGGGAAACUGGGUCUAAUACCGGAUAGGACCACAUUUUGGAUGGUGUGGUGGAAAGUUUUUCGGUGUGGGAUGAGCUCGCGGCCUAUCAGCUUGUUGGUGGGGUAAUGGACUACCAAGGCGUCGACGGGGAGCCGGCCUGAGAGGGUGUACGGCCAGAUUGGAAAGGAGAUACGGCCCAGGCUCCUACGGGGGGCGGCAGUGGGGAAUAUUGCACAAUGGGGGCAAGCCUGGUGGAGCGACGCCGCGUGGGGGAUGACGGCCUUCGGGUUGUAAACUCCUUUCGCUAGGGACGAAGCGAGAUGUGACGGUACCUGGCGAAGAAGCACCGGCUAACUACGUG